CGGAAGAAAGUUUCAACGAUGAACGACACCGUUUCUGGGUAUCGAAUAUGUUAACAACAAAUUCGAUCCUCCAAAAAAGAACAGUUACGGUCGACAAAUAGACACACCCGAUUCAUUUUCCAUCUUCACCCGCCAGCAGCCAAUCGGGAACCACGAACAGUUUAUAUACACGCCAACGCAUCAUUAAAAACCAUGUUUUUACCAUAGUAUUGCACAGAUCGCUGAACCACACAGUAAAAUAUAAUAAAAUCGCAUUCCAAGGCUCACUCGAGUGUCAAGUUCGUUAGAACAUCGUUCCAGCUAGGCUAUCAGGAAUUAUUCCAAUAACCAGCGGCAUAAAGUACCGUCGCGUGUUAUUGCACUAAUCGCAUAUAGAAAUGGUAUGGUCAAACGAAAAAGUUGUAUUCUUGAUACAACUUUAUGCAAAUGAAUCCAUAUUGUGGAAUCCUAAGCUUCCAGAGUAUAGAGACAGAAAUAAAAUAUAUUAUGCAUGGAACAGAAUAGCCUCAAAAUUAAACACGGAACGGACUGAGAUGGAAAGAAAAUUAAAAAUAUUACUGGCAUAAUAUCGCAGGGAGAAGCAGAAAUGCGAAAGAUAAAUAAAAUCUGGAAUAGGGACGGAUCAAGUGGAGACAUCCUUGUGGUGGGGUUACAAAACAUUGGCAGUUUUGUUGGAUAAAAAUAAAGUUAGAACAACAAAAGAUUCCAUAAGGAAUAAAACUGCAGAAAUCACACAAUCGGAAGAAGAAACAGCUACGAUAGAGGAAGAAAAAAAGAAAGAUGAAGAAGGGGAAAUAAAUUUGGACCAAAAUACAGCUACCGCCCGGAAUGACAAAAAGAAAAGACGAUCAACAGUGGGCCUAUGACUAGCUGAGGCAUACAAUGCCAUGAGAGACGUAACUUCUCAACCGCCAGACGAAUUUUCCGCGUUUAGAGAAUAUAUUGGCAGCAAAUUGUGAAAACUUGAAAAUUCAAGGAUGCAAGCCAUUGCUCUAUACGAAAUCAAUAAAAUACUGCUUGAAGCAGAAAUGCAGAUUGGGCAGCAAAGUCCUGGCUGUGAAAGCAG